rnacentral:lncRNA from 1 species
AAAACAUCUACUUUGUUGCAUCUUUGAAUCAUGUAUAUUUGUUCUUAUCCACCUUUCAAGCUCUUAUAUAGCACAUUACUCAAUUUUGCAUAUAAAUGCACAAUAAACAUAUCUUUUGUUCAAAUCUAUUUAGUAAUUCUUUUUAUUCAUCAACUAAUAUUAUUAUCUUUUUUUCACAAGGUUGCUAGUUUGCAUCAGCUGUAAUUUUUGUUUUAAAACUAAUACACUACAAUUAUAAUAUACAUCAUAUUGUACUUGUCGACUUACUAAACCUUCAUGUUGAUUUUAUUCUAUUCUUGUUGAUAAUUUCUCUACUCUAGUUUUUUUUGACAACAAUUAAAAUCCUACAUACCUCAUUAUCUUCUUUUUCUUUCUUAAUCACAAUUCUAUUGCAAAUUCCACCAUUCUUCAAUCACACUUUUGGAUGCCUUCUAUAAUAUCACACAAAUUCCUUAUUGUUAUAUUCUACUUAUUGUUCUUAUUGUCACUCUUGUUAUAUUCUUUUUGUGCCAUACUUCUUCUUACUUCAUAAUUGUCUUUCUACAAUAGUAAAUUGUUGUCUUUUGUUCUUAUGUUUGUUCUUUUAUUGUAUCCUUACUUCAUUUUUUUCAUUGUUCUUGUUGGUUCACAAUUUUGUUGUUAUUUGCCGCUUUUAUAGAAUCUAUCAUUGUUGUAUUUAGUCCUUUCAUUUUCAAUCUAAACUUAUGAAGUAUAAAAUGCCUCCAGCAUGCUUCUAACUCAAAUCGGUUGUAAAA